AGCGUAGGUGGCUUGAUAAGUCAGAUGUGAAAUCCCCGGGCUUAACCUGGGAACUGCAUCUGAUACUGUUGGGCUAGAGUAGGUGAGAGGGAGGUAGAAUUUCAGGUGUAGCGGUGAAAUGCGUAGAGAUCUGAAGGAAUACCGAUGGCGAAGGCAGCCUCCUGGCAUCAUACUGACACUGAGGUUCGAAAGCGUGGGUAGCAAACA
rnacentral:rRNA from 1 species